ensembl:lincRNA
ACGGCCGCGGCUCCCGCCGGCCCAGGUUGAGGCUGAGGUCUCGGCGGCGGCCAGGGCACUGGAGCUAGAACCCUCGGAUGCUCCCUCGCGCUCACUCUCUCGGCAGCAGUGGCGGCAGCGCCCGGAGCUCAGCUCGCAGUCUCCCUCGCUCUGUGCGGGGCUCUCGCCUCACUCCAGAGAGAGGGGCGGGAGGAGCGCGGCGCUCACUGAUGACGCAAGUCGCCUAGCAACCGUUCUCCUCCCCCCUCCCUAUCCUUUCCGCUCCGAGGCUUCCUCCGCGGGCCUUUCCCCCUUCUCCCCACCCCUCCCUUGGCGCCUGUGGCGCGCGCUGAUGACGCUAGAAGGGAAGAGGAAGUCGAGGAGCGGCGAGCUGGUGGGUGCGCCUCGGGCCGCGGGAGUCGCUGCUGCCGCUGCAGCCACCGCCGCUGCCUCUACGGCCGCGUCAGAACUGAGGAGGGGAAAGGGGAGGAGCCCAGCUGAGCCUAAGCUGCAGUCUGAUCUUACCCCUGACCCGAGGGCCGCAGGGAGAGCUUGCUGUGUAGCGGUUUCCUCCGGGGCAGGUGGCGACUGCCCCUUUGAGAACGAGAAGGAGCCUAGGCGGUGGGGCCGGGCUGGGGUGCAUAGCACCCGAAGGGACAGGAGUUACCUUCUCGGCCACAAGCAGCUUCCAUUUUCGGCCCCAUUUCUGCUUGGCAGCUUUUGUUGGGCCCACUCCCGGUGGAGCUGAGGAGCCAGAGGUGGGUUACACCACACAAACGUGGUGAUCCCGCCCCCACCCUGCGGAUGCGGGCGCAGAGAAGAGGACUGGCUUGGCCCCUCAGAGAUGUCACUACACUUGGACUGACGCCGCUACAGACAAGUGUGUGGAGAUGGCUUCUUUCUUUGACCUUGGAGUGUGUUCUUCAGAGUGCAAUAACUGGGUCUCGGAGCUGAAACAGUUUCGUGAUUUAUUCCUGAGACUGAGCCGGGCUGUGCUGACUGUAGGAGAGGAAAUCAGUGUGUUGGGAAAUACCGGUCUGGCAACUCUCAGGAACCUCUUCCUUAUCUCCCUGAUAUCCUUUUAAGUCCUUGCCUCAGUAAGUGCUCAAAUGAAUAUAGUCUCUCCUCACCUAUUUAUAUGUUCCUUCUCUGGCAUUUAUUGACACAGUCAGUGAGAGAAUAAUCUAACCCAAAGCCCAUGUAAUGGGAUCACCAUCCUAAAGGGAGUUAUGCAGUCAAUUUCCUAUCACAGAUAAAUACCAGACAUCAUCCUCUCAUGUCCUCCUCUCUUCUCUUUCCCCUCUCUCCCUCCUCCUCCUCCUCCCUGCCUUCCUCUUUUUUCUAUCUUUCUCAGUGCCAAGGAUUGAACCCAUGGCUUUCUCUCUGAGCUACAUCUCCCGCCUUUUUCCUAUGUUUUAUGUUCAGACGGGGUCUUACUAAGUUGCUAAAUUGGCCGAGUUGGGCUCAAACUUGUGACCCUCUUGCCUCAGCCUCGCUGUGUAGUGGCAUUGUGUCCCACACCUGGCUUCAUCUGUCUUACUGGGCCCUUUCCCCAAUCAUUCUCAAUGUUCUUCUUUGCCACACUCUCUCUGAUUUUCCCCCUGAGACUGACAGUCCAAAUACUCCCUGUCCCCAAAACAGUGGGAAUAAAUACUCAUCUGUAUGAACCAUCAAUUCCUCCAAAUGAAUGAUAACUUUCAGGGAUAAAUCAUAACCCAAGUACUUUCCAUCUUCCACAUGAUUGCAUUUUUCAUUUUCAUUCAAGCCCAGAAUUGUAAUCUGCCUUCGAGUUCCUUAAUCCUUGCCUUGGGGAAGAGUUGGACAGGAGUCAGGAUGAGAUCACAGGAGGUGGAGGGUAUCGAGAAUCAGAACCUAGGAUGUCCUAGGUUGACACUGUCCAGGCCCAAGACACGGGAGAAAGUGAGACAGCAGCCAAUAGAAGUCAGAGAUCUCCAACUGGCUAGAAGAAAUGACCGAGUGUGGACAUGAGUGGGCAAACUACUGCAACUUAAGGUCCUGCCUAGGCAAAGAGCCAAGGUGAGCACAGGGUCCAUGUGUCUACGUGGCUCAUCAGUGGACGCAAAGCACAGCCCAGCCUAGGCACCGCGAGGAUAAGCAGAGGUUGGAUCCCAUGUAGUGAGGAAAGCAUUUCGCAUACAUUGUCAAAAAACAUUGCCUUCUUUCUCGCUCUUUUGUAAUGCCCCCAUGUUGUUUUAAACUUGUGUAAUAUACAAAGGUGCUGUCGGAGUGGGACUCUUGGUUCUAAGUCAGAAGUCUCCCCCUCUGUCUUAUUUUUAUAAGCAGGCAGUGAGGCCCGGCAGGUGUAUCCAUGUCCCAGCAGCACUGCCCUCUCCGUGUCCCAGAGCGGGGCUGCAGCCCAGGCAGGAGCCACACACCCUGGAGGGUCCCCCAGGAAGAACUAAUAAAGUUCUCCCAUAAGCAUAUAAGGGAGGGGAAGGGCCUUUCCUUACAGCUCUUGUUUUACACACCUCACCUAAUUUUAAGGGUACAAAGGGAACAGUGGUUGGCUUCUGAGUUCGCAGGAAAAGUGCUAAAAGCAAAUAAGUAGUUGGGAAAUUGUCUUGACGUUUAUGGAAAGAACAAGACAUUAGUGUGUAAUAGAGGGGCUUAUAACUACUCUGGGAACACUAUUCCAGGGCCUCAGAGAGACGGCUCACCAUUUGUUUUAAAGACUUCAAAGAACAGCAAAAAAGCCACUCUAGCAGCUUUAGAGAAAUGGCUGUGGCACACGUGGGGCAGGAGAGGGAGGCAGGUGUAUGAGGACAAGGGGCGGUGCCUGCUGGGGGACAUUUACUUCAAAGGAAGACAACCAUUCUCUGUGCAGCAUGACGCAUUGUUUUUCCCAACACUCGUUUCUGCCCCUUACCCAGCCACUUUCAGACUUCGUUAGAAAGCAGGAUCAAAAAUAAUGCAAAGUUCAGAUAAAACAUAGUUUGAUCCUGUUUGUCAGAGUUGAGAGAAGUGUUUGGCAUGGAUUUUCAAAAUAGUAUAAUCCCCUCACCAUGCCUUUUUCUUCAUUCUAUUGUGAUCUCCUCUAUGUUGCUUUAUUGUACAGUUCAAAAAAGACCAGCAUUUGUUCCAAUGGCCAAAUUUCUCAUUUGACAGAAAGUUACAUGUGCUUCUGUCUUUGUUACUAACCCCUCCAAGUGC